rnacentral:tRNA from 1 species
GGUAGGAUGGCUGAGUAAGUGGUGGGUUGUAGCCCCAUAUACAGAGGUUUUAACCCUCUUCCUACUA